GAACGAGAAAGUGGAGCAAUCCAUGAGUAAAGUGGCGACCGGGUGAGUAACACGUGACUAACCUGCCCUUGAGUGGGGGAUAACCUCGGGAAACCGGGGCUAAUACCGCAUAACAUCGCAAGAUCAAAGGAGCAAUCCGCUGAAGGAGGGGGUCGCGGCUGAUUAGUUAGUUGGUGAGGUAACGGCUCACCAAGACGAAGAUCAGUAGCCGGCCUGAGAGGGCGCACGGCCACACUGGAACUGAAACACGGUCCAGACUCCUACGGGAGGCAGCAGUGGGGAAUUUUGCGCAAUGGGGGAAACCCUGACGCAGCAACGCCGCGUGGAGGAUGAAGUCCCUUGGGAUGUAAACUCCUUUCGAUCGGGACGAUAAUGACGGUACCGGAAGAAGAAGCACCGGCUAACUCUGUG
rnacentral:rRNA from 1 species